AGGUUUAUCAUCGGUUGCAAAAUUUGAAUUUGAUAAUAAACAUUAUGCAUUUGUGAUAUUAUACCUCUUAUACAAAAAGUAACGAAAAGGUUUAACAAACAACGGAGAGGCACGUUGCAUCUUUUACGGAACCGUCGUGUCUAUUCCGGUAACAUCCUUCUUGAGACGGUGUGAUUAUGAAAGACGGUUCGACACUUUAUAAAGGAUGCCUAUAUUUUAUAUGGACUGCGCUAUUUCAAUAAAAUAACCGCCACCAUCACCAAACCAAAUCAACAAUCCUUUCAUCCCUCAAAUUCGAUUUUCUAUUCUCGAGAUUUCAUGCGUAAUUAAAAGCACUCCAUCAUUCGCAUUGAUAUUAAAGAAAUGUCGAUUACAGAAAGGAGACCAAAGAAAACAUGGACGCCAAAAUUCAAGGGCGGUGUGAUGGUAGUUGAGGAGGCAAAUUCAAGCCAGCACCACAACGAGCAACAAUUGUGGCAUACAAUAGCAUCAAAUGACCAGACAAGGAAUUUGAGAAGUUAAAGUUUUCCGAACGAGUAAAGCGACGUUUAAUAUGAUAUGUGACACCACACGCUGUUUGAUGAUUCCGGUUCAUCAACGGGUCGCAAUGUGCUUAUACCGUUUAGCACAACAUAUGUGAGAUCAACGAUGUGGUCGUGGACGAGGAUUUGAAGUUUGAUUUGUUUGAUGAUGAAAUUGUCGUUGGGGAAAAUGAUAGGUGUGAAUUAAUAAAUGCAAUGCAAGUUACAUAUGUCGAAGUACAGGUGCUCUUAUGGUUUGGAAAAGAGGAAUUGGUCAACAGAAGUUAACCACGGGUAUUAUAUGUAUUAUGAGCAACAAGUUAUAAGGUGGAUGGAUGUUGAUAUUUCCAUCCAUUUACACAACUAUGUUGUGCAGCCAAGAUUCAAGCGCGACCGAGAGAUCUACCCCUCCUUAAACAUCUAAAUGUAUGAUCCCUUUCGAGGCCUGUUUGCAAGCGGGCUGAACAGAACUAGCAAUACUUCAAGCACAAUCCAUUACACAGAGACAAAAUGGAGUCUCAAUUGUGUUGCUCUAAGUCCUCAAAUUUCAAUUUUUUGAUGCUUUUGUGUGUUGUAAGGGUUGUUCUCUAGCGCAUCUGGCAUAAUUUCGCCAGGACAUUUGAGUGUGUUGUUUUAUGUUUGUUCUUAGGUCCCUUUUAGCAGCUUGCUAAGGCCUAAGAGGGAUGUUUAUGGUUGAAUAAAGUGGCUUCCCUUUUCAUUCAAAAAAA